ACUCGUAGACUCCUACGGGAGGCAGCAGUGGGGAAUAUUGCACAAUGGGCGGAAGCCUGAUGCAGCGACGCCGCGUGAGGGAUGACGGCCGUUCGGGAUUGUAAACCUGCUUUCAGCAGGGACGAAGCGUAAGUGACGGUACCUGCAGAAGAAGCACCGGCUAACUAUGUGCCAGCAGCCGCGGUAAUACGUAGGGUGCGAGCGUUGUCCGGAAUUACUGGGCGUAAAGAGCUCGUAGGCGGUUUGUCACGUCGUCUGUGAAAUCCUAGGGCUUAACCCUGGACGUGCAGGCGAUACGGGCUGACUUGAGUACUACGAGGGAGACUGGAAUUUCUGGUGUAGCGGUGGAAUGCACAGAUAUCAGGAAGAACACCGAUGGCGAAGGCAGGUCUCUGGGUAGUAACUGACGCUGAGGAGCGAAAGCAUGGGUAGCGAACAGGAUUAGAUACCCUGGUAG
rnacentral:rRNA from 1 species